rnacentral:rRNA from 1 species
GAUGAACGCUGGCGGCGUGCCUAAUACAUGCAAGUCGAGCAAACGGACGAGAAGCUUGCUUCUCUGAUGUUAGCGGCGGACGGGUGAGUAACACGUGGAUAACCUACCUAUAAGACUGGGAUAACUUCGGGAAACCGUAGCUAAUACCGGAUAAUAUUUUGAACCGCAUGGUUCAAAAGUGAAAGACGGUCUUGCUGUCACUUAUAGAUGGAUCCGCGCUGCAUUAGCUAGUUGGUAAGGUAACGGCUUACCAAGGCAACGAUGCAUAGCCGACCUGAGAGGGUGAUCGGCCACACUGGAACUGAGACACGGUCCAGACUCCUACGGGAGGCAGCAGUAGGGAAUCUUCCGCAAAGGGCGAAAGCCUGACGGAGCAACGCCGCGUGAGUGAUGAAGGUCUUCGGAUCGUAAAACUCUGUUAUUAGGGAAGAACAUAUGUGUAAGUAACUGUGCACAUCUUGACGGUACCUAAUCAGAAAGCCACGGCUAACUACGUG